rnacentral:rRNA from 1 species
GACGAACGCUGGCGGCGUGCUUAACACAUGCAAGUCGAACGAUGAAGAAGAGAAACGCGAACUUCGGUUCAACUUUCACUUCGGAUUAGUGGCAGACGGGUGAGUAACGCGUGAGCAACCUACCUCUUACAAAGGGAUAGCCUCGGGAAACCGUGAUUAAUACCAUAUGACACAUUCAUAAGGCAUCUUAAGAAUGUUAAAGCUGCGGCGGUAAGAGAUGGGCUCGCGUCCCAUUAGCUAGUUGGUGAGGUAACGGCCCACCAAGGCGACGAUGGGUAACCGGCCUGAGAGGGUGAACGGUCACAUUGGAACUGAGACACGGUCCAAACUCCUACGGGAGGCAGCAGUGGGGAAUAUUGCACAAUGGAGGGAACUCUGAUGCAGCGACGCCGCGUGAGCGAUGAAGGAAUUCGUUUCGUAAAGCUCUGUUCUAUGGGAAGAAAAGGACUGUACCAUAGGAGAAAGCCCCGGCUAAAUACGU